rnacentral:lncRNA from 1 species
UUGGUAUUGAGCAUACAGUUUACAUGUAAAUUAAGUGUGAUAUAGACAUUAUUCAUACAUAGUUUUGUAAUUAGACUUGAACAUUUUGUGUUUGUUGAGACCCCAUACACUUGUAUCCCUACCCCCGGGAAAGGUCAUAGAGGUCAACCGGAAGUACUAGAUAUUGACAUUUUUGUUUACAUUAGCAACUACAUAUCAGUAGUUAGCAGUUAGAUACACUGAUUUAAAAUUUACUUUUGAUUUUUGUGCAUACACACAUACACUUAGUUGUACAUUGAAAAUAUUUUACAAAUUUAUUUGUCUUAUUUGGACUUAGUAAAAUUACCAGUGAGAUAUCAACAUACACUGAUUGAUUGAUAGUUACACAUAAACACACAUAGUCCAUUCCACCUUGACUUAGCAUUUCACAUUGUACUUUACAUUGUUUAUAUUUGUACAUUGUCAUGUUUAUUGUUUAUGUGUAUUGCAUUUGACAUUGUUCAUUGUUGUUUACAUUGUCAUAUAUGUAUGUGUAUUGUGUACAUGUGUAUUGUGAAAUUGAUUUGUUUGUGUACAAUUGUCAUUGAUAUUUGUUACAUUUAACAUUUGAUGAAAUAGUUAAACUUUUCUAGAAACUAAAUUUUAAAUUAAAAGUUAAAACUUUAAAAGUUUAAUUGAGAUCAGUGAGCUUGUGUAGUACAAUUAACACUUGAUUAUUUAACCUUCAUACUUACCAUCCUUACUUAUCCACCAUAUUACACCAUACCUAGGAAAGGCACUUAUACUAUAUUUAACUUUCUAUUACUCUUUCUUGGACUUAGUCUUUAGUGGAGAGAGUUAUUUAGGUUGGUUUAGGUUAGCUUGGUAUAGUUUGUUGUUAGUUUAGUUGUACUUUGACUUGAGUAGAUUGGAACAGUGAUACAGUAUAGUUAUCUUGUGAUUAUAUUGUCCUAGUUGUAUAUAUAGUUGUCUGUAUAUUCAUUUGUAUAUAUUUAACUUGCAUAUUUAUUUACAUAUUUUUUUUUCUCUUUGAUUUGAUAUCAUACUUGUUUGACAUGGGUUUGUAGACGUACAAGCUUUACAACUCAUAUACAAGUUCAGGUUUUGCAUAUAGUUGGUAAGUCAUUGUGGUUAUAUAUAUAUUUCUUAUAUUGAUUUGUGUUAUUCUCUUUAGUAUUGUUUAUAUAUAGUGAUUAUCUUGAAUUGCUUUUCAUUUAUUAAUACAUUGAUUUUCUUUGUAGUUAUUAAUAUCUUUAUUUUCUUUUUGAUUUUCAGAUAUACUAUUUUGGUUUAGAGUCUAUACUGUGUGAUUUUGAUUGACUUAUACUUUAUU